rnacentral:misc_RNA from 1 species
UGCAACAAACAUCAUGAC